rnacentral:lncRNA from 1 species
AAAACAGAGGAUAUUUGAACAUAACUAUGGAUUAUUUUGAACCAAACCAACAUUUGUUAUUGAAGUAGAAGUCCUGGGAGUGCAUUCUAACGAAGAACAGCAAAGGACCUGAGCCCUAGGACUAUGCCUCAUGACUACCUGGCAUGAUGACUCCUUGCUGUCCCCAGUCCACCUGGUUAUGCUGCUGCUCCAGUUUCAACUGUUCUGCCUGCGGCUAUGGAACCCUGACCUGUUCACCGGACGUGCUUGUUGCACCCUCGACA